ensembl:snRNA U1 U1 spliceosomal RNA
AUACUUACCUGGCAGGGGAGAUACCAUGAUCACGAAGGUGGUUUUCCAGGGUGAGGCUCCUCCAUUGCACUCUGGAUGUGCUGACCUCUACGAUUUCCCCAAAUGUGGGAAGCUCAACUGCAUACUUUGUGGUAGUGGGGGACUGCAUUUUCGUGCUCCUCUG